AAUUUUGGACAAUGGGGGAAACCCUGCUCCAGCCAUCCCGCGUGCAUGAUGAAGGCCUNUGGGUUNUNAAGUACUUUUGGCAGAGNAGAAAAGGUAUCUCCUAAUACGAGAUACUGCUGACGGUACCUGCAGAAUAAGCACCGGCCAACGACGUGCCAGCAGCCGCGGUACUACGUAGGGUGCAAGAGUUAAUCGGAAUUACUGGGAGUAAAGCGUGUGUAGGCGGUUCGGAAAGAGAGAUGUGAAAUCCCAGGGCUAAACCUUGGAACUGCAUUUUUAACUGCCGAGCUAGAGUAUGUCAGAGGGGGGUAGAAUUCCACGUGUAGCAGUGAAAUGCGUAGAGAUGUGGAGGAAUACCGAUGGCGAAGGCAGCCCCCUGGGAUAAUACUGACGCUCAGACACGAAAGCGUGGGGAGCAAAC
rnacentral:rRNA from 1 species